GGAAGGGUAGUAAACUAGAAACAGAAUUUUCUUGUGCUUCGAAAAUGUACUUCUCUGCAGUCUAGAAAUGCCCAUGUUCAGAAGUUAUCGUUAUCGCCUCACUGCCGUAGUGCCGUGAUUCUCAGCAAACAACGUGGUUGUAAUAUUCAAAUGCUUCCACUAUCCUAGCAAUAUUCAAACCGACGUGUCCGCAGGCGAAUUCCUUCCUGCUUAAAAUGUCUUGAUUGGUGCACAGCUUUGGAUUAUGUAUCCACCAAUGUGAAUAGAAAAAGAAUCUUGUGGUACCAAACUGGAAGUUUCCUGUGAUGUAUGUACCAGUGUACCUUGUUGCAGUCCUGCUUUCAUCCAAUUAGAACUCGGGAAUUGGGCUUUCUCCUAACGGGUACCAUCCAUUCUAUAAUUGGUCGGAAAUUGUAAUGGCAAGCAACACCAUUGGCUCGGGUAUCCAUUUUGGAAAUUGGUGUCCGUAAGGUGCGUCUCGUGUCAGAUGUUUUCCAAUUUAAUAAAGUUUCAGAUGGAUGAGAUCACCCGACUACUUCGUCUGAAAGUAUGUGACCGAAACUUAUGGAAUCGGUAGUGCUGACAAGGUCGUAACUAUUGCGAACAAUCGGUGACGCAGACUGUUUAAUCUGAGCGACUGAACGAUCAACUCGUCAUUUCCCAUUGAACUAGAAGAAUCACGAUUGUAUCGAGUAACAUAAGACUAAGAGAUUAUGUAUCUUUCAAUGGGGCUAUUGCGGAUGAUGUUUUCUCUACUCUUGUUUCGCCACUCUGCAAAAUCAAAUUUGAAAGGAGCUUGGUUCGACACAGAUCGGUGCUCAUUAAUUUAUUCAUUUGUGCAUUAAUUCGACGUUACACUGGAGAGCAUUGAAAUGUUAAUUAACUUAAAAAUUGCUGAUACAUUUUGUGGUAAUGAAUUUUAGUAAAUCCGUAAGCAGUCGCUUCGAUUUUUCUUCGAUUUGAAACUGUAUGUAAAACAAAUAAUGCGGUAAUCUAAAUUUAUUUCUGUAUCGUGUUCUCUUGUUCUCAUCAAUUUCCGCAAUUUCCCCUCGACUGAUAACCGACGGCAAAAUGCGAGACGCCGUCGUUUUCGAUAACUUUUCAAAAACGUUGAUGCCUGAAAAUGUAACUCGCCUUACACUUGAUGACAUUUCAAUCACGAUUCAAUGCGAAAUUAAGUCAUCGUCGUUGAAAAAAAAUUUCCCAGGCUCAUCUCGCAUCUAGCAUACCCUCCCCCCUCACUCACUCACCCUCUAUCCACAUUGUCUCGUCUUUUGACCUCUUUUCAAACAGAAAGUUAUUAGAGAAGGAGAGAAGUUAACUGUGCAAUUUCAUCAAAGUUGAAAUUCCGCAUUUUACGUAAUAAAAGGAUUUCAGUGCAGUUUACGGUUCGUUAUUGGGCAGUGAAGUCACGCAGAGCGAGUUUUGGCAGUUUUGAUUUAGAUAAAAUUCAAUUUCCGCCAAAGAUGGCUAACAACAAAAUCGGUAGCAACAGCAGCAGCAAGGGUGAAGGAAAAUCAGCUGGAAAUGGAAGUGAAGUCGCAGAGCCAAAAAAGACGUUAGCCUCCCGUAAAUUUAUUCGACUGGGGACAAUCGUCUGGGCUAACUGCUAAGUUAGAUGGCUGGGCUGGCCUUGGUGGCCCGGUAAGUCACGCAUUUUUAUUAAAACUGUUUGUUUUUUUCGGAAUUUUUAGUUAAUAUUUGAGAAAUUGUUGCCAUUGUUAUUCCUGUUAUUUUAUUUAUUCACAUUUGUCGAUAUACGACAAAGGGAUCGUUGUUACUCACAAAGUCACAAUAACUGUAGGACUGUGGGCUGCCCACCUCCGAGAAAACCGACUAGUCACUGGAUAUUUUGGUUCGGCGGCCAUCAGACUGUGUCCGAGCCCCGAGGUUCAUUAAUUACAAAACGUUUUCCGAUUACUUUAGUUCUAAAUUUGUGUUAACAUUCUUGGGAGUUAAAACAGAUGCCGGCGGAAAAUCUAAGCGGUUUUCUAGAUGACCGGUUGGCCAACCUGUUAAAUCAAGCUCGCAACAGUCUCUAUGAAAGAGAAGUCUUGGAAGCCCUGCUGGCACUCGCUUUUAUUAGAGAUCCACAGACGAAAUUAGUUAAAGGCACGGCUGACAAAUGAAAGACGU